rnacentral:lncRNA from 1 species
CCUUUUAUCCUCUUUUAAGGCAGCUUCCACUUCCUUCUUCCCUCUCCUCUUGACUUCCCUUGUAACCCAGUUUAUCGUUUAUGGAAUCAGUUUAGUUAUUGUUUUGGUCUUUUUUGCAUUAAUCAAAGCAACCCAAUUUUACUCUUCACCUACUUUCAUCUUACUUAUCCUUGUCUAUGUGAUCAUUUUCACGUCUACUAUAACUUAUCUCCAACUGAACUGGAUAUUUGCUCAAGCUAUCGUAGUAGUUGAAUCAAGCUGGGGACUUGAACCAUUAAAGCGAAGUCGAAAUCUAGUUAAAGGAAUGAAAGGGGUUGCUUUUAAGAUGAUGCUGUUUUUCGGCUUCUUCAUUGCGUGUAAUACCUGGCUCUCAAUUCAAAGACUGAGGGAUCCAGCUGGUGAUAAAUGGAAAAGUUGGAC